rnacentral:rRNA from 1 species
UACAGAGGUCCCAAGCGUUGUUCGGAUUCAUUGGGCGUAAAGGGUGCGUAGGCGGCGCGGUAAGUCGGGUGUGAAAUCUCGGGGCUUAACUCCGAAACUGCAUUCGAUACUGCCGUGCUUGAGGACUGGAGAGGAGACUGGAAUUUACGGUGUAGCGGUGAAAUGCGUAGAUAUCGUAAGGAAGACCAGUGGCGAAGGCGGGUCUCUGGACAGUUCCUGACACUGAGACACGAAGGCCUGGGGAGCAAACGGG